UCCCCCACGUUAUCUAUUUUCCUACAUGGUGUUUGUUACAGACAGCUGACUAGAUACCUUUAUACAUGCCCUAAAGUUGCCUCCACUCUUUCUCCUGUACGGUUCCAUGAUGGGGAUUUUUCUAAUCGCCAUCGCUAUCCUGUUUGGCUCUAGGCCUUCACGAAUCAAUCGGAUUCUUUCGGCUUCCACCGCCCAUCGUAGCCGCCGGGAGAUUGAGGAUUUGCAACGCGUGAGCGGGUUCGCCGCUAUGCGCUGGACGCCGCCUGAGGUACUGCGCUGCAUCCCCUUGGAGGGCCGCGACCUCGCGAUGAUGCGCCCCGCUGCCAGCCAGGAGGGCAAGGCCCCGCCGUCGCGCUCGAUGGGGUCGUUGUGCCACGCGCUGGAUGCUGCGGGGUGGCCAUGGCUGCCAGUGUAGGUCGCUGCCGCGAACCGCGACGCGGCGAUCCGCAUCAGGAGGAUCCGCCGUGCGAUGCUUCUGGACCGCCGGGAGGAGCACCAUCAAGGCCGAAGGCCGCCGCGUCCUUGGCGCCGGAUAGCGUCGCCGCCGGAGCCGUGCACCACGGUCUCGUCGUUGGGAUGAGCAUGGCGUCGCCGUUCCUCUUCUCUGGUUCUUCUUUCAUUCCUUUUCGCUUGUUGCGUGGGCUAAUGCUCUUGGUAGAGGCGUGCGUGAUAACUUUCUCUGGCUACGGACAACACGUGAAAACAAAUCGCUCGUUCCAACUCGCGCGCGAAGGAGCGUUUCCGAUUUCUCAUUGAUUGAAGACCGGGUAUUUAUACCCACUUUACAAGGCAGUUAGGAUUACAAUGUUGGUAACUACAACAGACUUAAGCAUUGAUUAUUAGGAUUAAAUUAAUCUUUAACAGUAUCCUCGGCCGAAAUAAUCAAAGGGCAAACAAGUUUCUUUUUUAGAGCGAAGGCUCAAGAGGAGCCCGGCUUUGAAUUAACGAAGCUAUCAACCGGUCAGGAUUACACAAGGCCAUCAAGCAGAGCGACCGAAAGAUACAAUGAAGCUGUGUGAACAGCAAACAAUGCAACCGACACUACAGCAGAAAGAAAAAUACAUGAAGAGCCCUGUUAGUAAUGUCGAAGCCUACUGCAUAUAAUCAGCAGAGAGAGGAGCAACAGAGAAGCCUCAGUGAUCAGCCGAUAGCCUGAGAAAGUUGUGAACAGUCUGAACCCACGGACAAGGGAAGAGCAUUGCUCCCCACGCCGAAGAGGAACCCUUUCCUCUCGCCUACGCUUGAAGGCGCCGCACCGGAUCGUUGGCGCUCGGAUCCCAUCGCAGACAAGUUGCGCUAUCCUCUCCUGCCGCCGCCGCCGCCGCCUCAGCCUCGUCCGCCUCCUCUCCUGCAGCCGCCGCCACCUCGGCCUCGGCCGUCUCGUGCUCUGCCGGCGCCCGUCCGCCUCGAUCCGCCCGCUCCUUCGUCGGGUGGCGACGGACGGACGGUGAGGAGGGGGCGACCGGGUCGGCGAGAAGCUGCGAUUUAGCGUUGUCACCGCCUCUCAGCACGCAGCCUCUCCUUUCCUAUCUCCUCUGCGGCUCGCCCUCUUCCUCCGGCCGCAUCCAACCCCAUAGUCAUCUCCUACUUCCCUCUCUUAUUCCCCUCUGCGUACACGAGAUGGGCCAAGCCGGCACACAAGGCAAAGGGCGGCGGUGGCUCCGACGCGGGCGCCGUAGAGGUGGAGGCGGAGCUGUGGCGGCUGGUGGUGGACGGCCGCGUCAGCGACGUCAGCCUCGACGAGUUCCAUCACCUUCACUGCUACUUCAGGAGGCUGGUCUGGAUUAGGUCCGUUUCUUGGAGUAUGACAAGCUGAUGGUGAUCCUCACGCUGACAAAAUAAUAAAACAUUCAGUGCUGGAGCUUCCAAAGGGAUCUUCAUCCAGUGAUGAAGAUGGAUCCUGCAUAGAAAAUGAUUCCUCAAAGCAUCUGAAGCUGAGCUACAGAAUUUUGACUUGUGACAUCGAGGAAGGAGAUUAUUAUGUGUAUGACAAAGAUGAAGGCUGCUAUGGGAAUGGCGAUGAAGGGUCUGAUUAUGAAUUUGAUGAAAGUGACUUUAAUCAGCAAAUUGACUUGAAUCAGCAGCUGGAUUAUAAAUUCGACAAUUUGGAUUACAGAUACUCUGACAGCAAGGUUAUUCCACAUGUAUGGUCUAAUCAAAUAUUUGUGGUAAGGAUGAACAUCAGUAUGAGGAGAAAACAUCUGAACUAAAAUUACAAGCUUCAAAGGCUUUUUAAGAGAAAUGAAUAUAUCACAGCAGGAUGUAUGUAUUCAGAUCAGGAGGAGCUCGCCCUUGAGACAGGAGGAGGGGAGCAGCAGCCGCGCCCCGUACUCCGCUGGUGCCCGUCGGCCUCGAUCCGUCCUUGGCAGGAGGAGCUCGAGCCGAGGAGUGCAACCUUGAUCCGGACUCGGUAGGAGGAGGGAAGCAGUAGCCGGAGCGCCUCGUAGCUGUUAGAUGUGUGUAGUCUUUUUUUGGUAUAUCCCCAUUGUAUAAGGGGUUUCCUGCACUUUGACACAUGUAUAUGUAAUGGCCUUUGGCCCUCAGUAAAGUUCAGUUGCUGAUUAUACAA